GUUGCAUAGAUGUGUGGUGUUGGCUGUGAGCUGUGCUGUCUGUGAGCCCAGCUGUCUUCAGAUGAUGUUGUUUUUCCUUAAAUCUGCUUUCCUGGUUUGUUCAUAACACCAAAGAGGCUCUCCUUGAUUUAUUUCCUUUUCCUUCCAAAGAAAGAGUGAUAAGAGUAUCAUUCCAGACUAAGAUUCCCAGAGUGCUUUGUGGUCCCUUGUUCUGGGAGGAAGAUAAAAAGCAACGCUUACAGUGAGAGGAUUACCUUGUCUGCCCAGGCAGCCAAGACAGCAGAACGGUUGAGCCGCUUGCACUUCUCCACCGAUUUUUCCCCGCCAGGAGAAGGAGUUGAGGGGAGGCAGAAGUCCGUGUCACAUGACAAACCCCGCAGAAUGUCUACAGUUCUAAUGUGAAACUGAAGAGUCCUCUAUCUUGGAGGUCCGCUUUGGACACCACACAAGGCUUUGGGCAAGCCACUGUGUCAUUACUUCCACUUCUUACCAUGCAUAGCUUUGCUUUGCUUAUUCCCAUGCAGGAGAGAAGGAAGAUUCAGUUUGAGUCUGUGAUACUUGGGUUAUGGCGGUAACUCACGUAUGUGCAAAGUGAUCCUUUGAAUUUAAGUGAAAUGGUCCUCUGGAGUGAGUUUUGUUAAAUAGCAUGGCUAAGACUCGAAUGAGA
ensembl:lncRNA